GCUGUCAGAUACAUCUACAGAAGUCAGUCUAAAGACAGAUGUGUUCAUGGCAGCAAGCCGCAGGUGCUUGACAAAGAUGAGGAAGAAUUUAUGAGUACAUCCCCAUGGGAACAGAUAACCAGCCAGGGCUUUAGGAACAUCUGCUGCUGACUUGCUUACCUGCAGUAAAGACACAUACAACAGCUGGGAGUUAGAGAACACUAGGAAUGAACCAGUUGUCCCCUCCCUCUUGCUACUUUGAUUACUAAUGGGGAUCAAGCUAUGUGAGGAAAAUGUUGGGGAGCAGGCUAUGUGACUUAGGUCCUGUGGUCUCAAGAGACUGGUGUGACCUGCUUUAGGAAUAGGGAAGUAUUCAGAAGGCUGCAUGCUUCCUAGCUGUGUGAGGAAAGCUCCUAAUCACAGCACUCCUAAGGCAAGACAGCAUCUGCUGAGGACAAUGCAAAAAAAAAAAAAAAAAAAGGCAGGAAUCCAGAUAUAGGAAUCCAGAUAUAGGGAAGGAUCUAAUCCCCAUUAACUCAUUUCCUUUGUGAGGAUUAACUUGCUCCUCAUUUUUUAUUGACCCAUUCUUACUGCAGUCACUGUUCCACAAAAAGUAUACUACCCCUCCCCUGCACUUCUUUCUGGCUAAUAAAAGUGGAUCAACCACAGAGACUGUUAAGCCUGUCCACUAGAGGCAGAUUCUUCCCAGUCCCCUUAUACCUUGAAUUUUGUCUGUCUUCUUUUAUUCCGUCAUCCCCCCUACAGGUAUCCAAUGGUCUGAUCAGCCCCUGGCAUAUUACAAUCUCUCCCAAGAAAUCUGAUUGCCAUCUAACUUCUCAAGGAAACUCUCUCCCAGGAAGACUCAAACACAUGGACCAACUAAUGCCCAGAGGUACAUCUUGCUAAAACCUGCCUCACCACCCCAGCUCCAGCUUGCUCCCCAAGUCUGAAAUAUGCUCCCCUUCUGUAACAUUUUCUCAGGACUCAGAAUUUACUCCUGACCACACCUUCAUUUUCCACAUUAUCAAAAGAAGCCCAGGAUUUUGAAUGAGGGACAAGUCACCCCAUUUAUGGCUGUUUUGCUCCCCAUAGGAACAGAAGUAUAACCGGUUUUGUUAACAUUGCAUCUCUCAAUAAUCUCAGUGCUGGCAGGUGUCCAAUAAAUGUGUAUAUAAAGCAAAAUAAUAGGGCUGUUCUGUGGCACUUCACCUAACUGAAGCCAAAAUUGUGUUUACUAUGGUGGCUAGGCACACAGAUAUAAACCAUGCCUGUAAACCAUGCCUGGCCUGAGAACACAACCACACACAUCUGUGCUGGAGCAGGAUCUUCAUGCAGGCAACAGACACGGAAACUCCACCUACCAGCUGCACUUGGGAGAGCCAAGCCCCCAGAGCAGCCAUAACACGUGAACACAUGGAUGAAUAAUUUCACAUCAGGCCAGGCACACCUCUGGUUCUGACACACUGAGAACACGACACACAUCAGGCUUGGAGAGCCAUAUUAUUAUUUUCUCCUAGCUGAUCACAGAUUGUUAGAGCUAGAAAGGAUGCUUCAGAUUUUAUCUCAGGCCCACGUUCUUCUCACUUGGCAGCAAAGGACAGGUCCUCAGUCAGCUGAGUGAUCUGAUGAAGCUGUUGGUGAAGCUGAGUACUGAACCGAGGUCUCCUUAUCUUCCAGCCCAGCAAUCCUUCCAACAAAUUCUCUUUGUCUUUCUAUUGAUGUUUGUCUUAAGCUUCUAGCAAAACAAGCUCUCCUAUUACAUCAAACUAAAAGUUUCUGCCCCACAGAAGAAACAAGCAACAGAGUAAAUACACAACCCAUGGAAUAGGUGUAAAUAUUUGCAAACCAUAUAUAAGGGGUUAAUAUCUAAUAUAUAUAAAGAACUCAAACAACUCAAUAGUAAGAAAACACAUAACUAGAUUGGGAAAUGGGCAAAGCACCUAAACAGACAGCUCUCAAAAGAAGACAUAAAGAUGGCUAACAGACAUAUAAAAUACUCAAUAUGACCAAUCACCACAGAAAUCCCGAUUUAAAGCCAGAGUAAGAUUAGGAUAGUACCAAAA
rnacentral:lncRNA from 1 species